rnacentral:sRNA from 1 species
UUUUUUUUCCUCUUCUUGUUUUGUUUA